rnacentral:lncRNA from 12 species
GCAUGGGACAUGGGGACAGGGUCACCUGGGGCAUGGGGACACAGGGACAAGGUCACCUGGGAGCCCCCACACCUCCAGCAGCAGCAGCACCUGCACUGGGGGGAUGGGGAUGAGGGCACGUGGGGGCACCUGGGCAGCCCCAGGGUAACAGCCCUGGGGUCACCUGGAGGGCACCUGGACAGCCCCAGGAUCACCCACAGCUGGACAUGGGCACCUGGGGGGAACCUGGAGCACGCACAUCUCCAACAGGUGGGACGUGAGGUGAAUGGAAGGACAUGGGGUCACCUGGGGGUCACCCCCUGCAGUGGUGGGGGACAGGGACAGGGACAGGGACAGGGCCAAAGCGUCACCAGCACCUUGCGAAAGCUCAGCUGGCACCUACCUGGACAUCUGGGGAACGUGGGGGGCAGGGACACAGUGACCCCUCCUGUCCCCUCACCUGGGUGACACCUCUGACCAGCUGGAUCCUGUGACCCCCCCCGUGACCCCCCCGUCCCCCCCCCCCCCCCCCCCCCCCCCCCCCCCCCCCCCCCCCCCCCCCCCCCCCCCCCCCCCCCCCCCCCCCCCCCCCCCCCCCCCCCCCCCCCCCCCCCCCCCCCCCCCCCCCCCCCCCCCCCCCCCCCCCCCCUCCACGUCAUCCUCCCGUUCCCCCUUCCCGGUUCCAUCGCCCCCGGCCCGCUGGAGCUCCCUGAGCCCUGUCCGGGCCCUAACCCCCUUUUCUCCUGUUCCCCCCCGUUCUCCCCCUUCCAGCCCGAUGGAGUUCCCCGAGCACUGACUCCCCGUUUUCACCGGUUUCUCCCCAGUGUUCCCCAUUUCCCCGCAGCGCCAUGAAGUCCCCGAGGGGCACUAACCCCUCGAUUUUCCCCUGUUUCACCCCAUUUUCCCCCCUCCAUCCCGUCGGAGCACUGACCCCUCUCCAAUCCCCGUAUUUUCCCCGAUUUCCCCCCGUUUUCCCCACUUCCAGCAUUCCUGCAAUCCCCCGAUGGCAUUUCCCGAGCACUCAUCUCCCCAUUUUCCCGUUUUUUCCCUGUUCUUUCCCCCCACUUUCCCCGCAGCCUGAAGGAUUUCCCGACUACUAACCCCCCCUUUUUUCCCUGCCUUUCCCCAGUUUUUCCCGCAGCCCGAUGGAGUUCCCCGAGCACUAACCCCCUAUUUUCCCUGGUUUUUUUCCCUGUUUUUUUCCCUAUUUUUCCCACACUUUGCUCUCAGCCCCACGGAGUUCCCCGAGCACUAACCCCCCAAUUUUUCCCUGUUUUUCCCCCACUUUCCCCGCAGCCCCACAGACUUUCCCGAUUACUAACUCCCUAUUUUUCCCUGUUUCUUCUGUUGUUUUCCCCAUUUUUCCUGCAGUCCCACGGAGUUCCCCGAGCACUAACCCCCCAUUUCCCCCCGUUUCUCCCCAUUUCCCCGCAGCAGCCCGAUGGAGUUCCCCGAGCACAGCCGGCAGCUGCUGCGGGGGCUGCGGGAGCAGCGCUCCCGGGGGAUCCUGUGCGACUGCACGGUGCUGGUGGGCACCGCGCCCUUCCCCGCGCACCGCGCCGUGCUGGCCGCCUGCAGCUCCUUCUUCCACCUGUGCUACGCCGAACCGGGCGGCGCGGGCGGGGCUCGGGGGGCCGUGGUGGCCCUGAACAGCGACAUCGUGACGGCGCCGGCCUUCGCGCUGCUGCUGGAGUUCAUGUACGAGGGGCGGCUGGCGCUGGCGGCGCCGCUGGAGGACGUGCUGGCCGCCGCCAGUUACCUGCACAUGAACGACGUGGUCAAGCUGUGCAAGAAGAAGCUGCAGGCGCGCCCCCCCCCCCCCCCCCCCCCCCCCCCCCCCCCCCCCCCCCCCCCCCCCCCCCCCCCCCCCCCCCCCCCCC